GUAGGUACGUUCAGUGCGCCUCACUAAUUUAUGAUAGAUUGACUGCGAGAAGAGAAUAUAAAAUACCAUUUAACGUGAGGCGGACAGCAUCACAUAUUACAUCAAUAAUAAUGUGCUUCAAGACCAAAUGCGGAGGCUGCGGCAAAGCAACAUGGGCCGGCUGUGGGAAUCACAUCGAGAGCGCCCUGAAGGACGUUCCCGUCAAUGAACGUUGUAAAUGUCCGCGGGACUCGAAGAAGUAAGCUUCCAGGUGCUCGAUAAUGUGACAAUGGACCAGGAAAUCCUCACAGUUUUUUAUUUCAUUUUGAUUUUGAAUGUGUUUGUACAUAUGAACAUUCCUUAUUGUCUCAUGAUGUGUGUAAAUACCGGUAAUUGCGAUUUCUACAGUAUUGUUUAAUUUUUUUCAGUUAAUAAAAAACAAAGCAUCA